rnacentral:rRNA from 1 species
AACGAACGCUGGCGGCAUGCCUAACACAUGCAAGUCGAACGAUCCCUUCGGGGUUAGUGGCGCACGGGUGCGUAACGCGUGGGAACCUGCCCUUAGGUUCGGAAUAACUCAGAGAAAUUUGAGCUAAUACCGGAUAAUGUCUUCGGACCAAAGAUUUAUCGCCUUUGGAUGGGCCCGCGUUGGAUUAGCUAGUUGGUGGGGUAAAGGCCUACCAAGGCGACGAUCCAUAGCUGGUCUGAGAGGAUGAUCAGCCACACUGGGACUGAGACACGGCCCAGACUCGUACGGGAGGCAGGAGUGGGGAAUAUUAGACAAUGGGGGAAAGCGUGAUAAAGCAACGCGGGGUGAGAGAUGAAGGGCUUAGGGUUGUAAAGCUCUUUUACCCGGGAUGAUAAUGACAGUACCGGGAGAAUAAGCCCCGGCUAACUCCGUG